ACGGCUUUGUGCACAUUCAGAGCUGUUGCUGAUUCUUCUGCCACCAGCAGAGCUAGCACUUUUAGAAGAUGGCUCAGGCUGGUGGAUGGAGAGUCAAUUGAUGGUAGCUGGAAUAGAAGCAGGAAAAUAAGCAAGGAAGUAAUGGGAAUAGAAGCAUCCAGAUUUGAAGUCAAGAAAUUCUAAUCAGUUCACCAAACCCAAGAUGAAUGAUAAAUAGAUGUUUACUGGGGAUGAACUUACAGGUAACAAUAAGUAACUGCUGUGGCAUGGCCAUGUUACAGGUUCACAGGCAAGAUGAAGCUACACAGAUUCAAGCUCCCAAGAAUGAAUGGCUAAUCUGUUCUACUUGCUCCUGUACCCAGGCAACUCACUCAACACCAGGCUCACAGAGGGUCUUCGGAGAUUGUUGCUCCAAGGGUGAGCAAGUGCAUGAGAUGGCAAGACUUGAGAUCAAGAGCCAUGAACCAUGCGUGGUCAUAGAGGCAGGUCCACCACAUGCUGGAGCGCGUCAGUCAUUCUUCCCUGUGCUGUUUUGCUGGUUUCCUGGGCCAGGUGCUUCCACAGUUCUACAAUCCUCCAAGCUAUGA
rnacentral:lncRNA from 1 species